CAAACAGAGCGACACUCAGGGGGACUCAUUUUCUCUUUCAUGAAGAUUAUUUAACUUUUUUGUUACAGGCAAUACAUGUUUGUAUUUGAACAAUUGUAUCUGUUUAAUCCUUUUAACUGAGUGAUACAAGUCCUGGAUUGGAAUACCAACCUCAUAGGAACCUGGCUGCUACAAUCCUAGAUGCUUUGUACUGUACAAAGAAAGAGGAAUCCAUGGAUUAUAAAAGGAAUGUGGCCUUCAAUAAUAAUGAUUCAAAUGAAAAUUCUCUGCUUCUCUGGGACUAGGAACCCUACAUAUAUAGUAAAAGUAAAGACUAAGUUGUAAGGUGAUUCAUGCUCCAUGAAAAAAAAUGCAUCAGCAGAUUUAUUCCUAUGAAAGGUCUUAUUAGCACUAAAGGAGCUGUUAGUACCAAUCGUGUAAGUAAUACAUGUUUUCAAAUUUGCUGUGUACUGUAUAUGUUUACCUAAUCUGCAUUUUUAAAAAUCUGUAUAUUAUAGAAGGAGUCAUUAUUUUUUUGCUGCCAUUUCAAUUCUCAUUUAUUUCCAGGACUGAUACUUUUCUCAUAUAUAUAUGAGUAUCAGUAAAGUAUCAGUUCUGGAAAUUAUAUAUAAAAUAUAUUUAAGAAACGAAAUGUAACAGUUUGUACACAUUCAUCCCUAAACUGCAAUAAUUUGGUGGUUAUGCAUGUGACUGAAAAUACUGCUUUGAAUUUGAUCAUUUAAACAGGCAGACACUGAUCUUUAAAUGCUUGGCUAUGUGGAAACCAACACAGCUACUCCCUUGCUUAAAAUUAACCACAUGACUAUGUGCUUGCAAGGCUUGUCUUAAGCUUCCUCCAUGUAUCUCUCCCAGUGACCCAUCAUCAUGAACUGCCAUAUGAACAAUCAUCGGAUCUUGGUCUACAAACAGUCUGUUCUGUCAGCAGCAGUAAUGGGAUAAGAAGAAAGGCUUGUUGGGUUUUAAGUAGUAUGCUUUGGCUACUUUAUGCUUCUCUAGUGAUGCAAAAUAACUAUAAAUUUUGUUUAACUGUCCAGCCAGAAUCAAUUUUGUACCUACUCUGUCCCAAACUGAUGCAAAGCAAUUGGAGCAUAUCAGGAUGUCUGGUCCCAGGAUUUUCACUUAUGACCUUUCCAGGAUUUAAAUUAGUGUGAUUCAACAUCAAGUAUUCCAACAAUGCAAAGUUAAAGUAUGACUAUAGAAGCCAGUACUACAAACACAUGUGCAAUGUCUGGCCUGAAUAGUCCCAUGGAAAUAAGGAGGACCUUGAAUAAGGAAUGACUACCCCUGAGAAAAGGACUGUGGGAAUUUUUUCCUUUUUUUUCCCUACCAAAAACAGUGACCAUGCAACUAUGACAUUGUGCUCAUCAUAUUUCUAACUGUGCAUCAUAUUUACUGAUAUUUAGGAAAAGACCUAAUAAUGUGAAAGCAUUUCAUAGGGAAGUCAUUGAAGAAAAAAAAGAAACCCACUACUGAAUUUUCAGAUGAACCCUAACUGGCAUUUAUUCUCUAUCUGUUCAAUGUUUCAUUAUGAAAUGAAGGGUUAAGUCCUAAACACAGGGAUGUCCUGGACUGCAAACCUGUAAAGGCUGCAAGCAUGAUAAAAUUCUGAGGCAGCAUAACCUUUAAUUCUGUAUCUGACAGCACAGAGAAAAAGGGUUUUAAAAGUAUUAUGUAUGGUUCUAUUUUUAUUAGUUUCCUGAUGUAGUGCCCUGUUUGUACCCAGCUAUGUGGUUAUACACUUCCAGGAAAUGCAGAAGUCAUCUGAAGAUGAUUUUAUAAAGUUAAGAAUAUGAUAAAUGGUAAUUAAAUGUGUUUAAAUUGUCUGUGUUUUAAGAAACUCUCACUAGGAGGGAAGGAGAACAUCUCUGUUAUAAAGAAAUAAAUAAAACAUGU